AUGCUACUCCCUCCGUCCGAAAUUACUUGUCAUCAAAAUGGAUGAAAAUGCAUGUAUUUAGAACUGAAAUACAUCUAGAUGCAUCCAUUUUCAGUGACAAAUAUUUCCGGACGGAGGGAGUACUUU
rfam:Triticum aestivum genome assembly, contig: Triticum_aestivum_CS42_TGACv1_scaffold_030293_1BL